GGGCAUUACUCCAUCUCGUUGAAAUUUAAGAGGAAACUGGAGAAACUUUCUGGCCAAAAUUCAUCUUUAACAGAAGAAAUACACUAUUCAACCAUAUCAGGAAUGAAAAGGAUAAGAUUAGCGACACAUAUUUCCCUGGAGUAUAUCAGAUCCCUUUCUACGAUAACGACACAAAUACCAGCAUGAACUGUAUCAGUUAUACAGCACAUUCCCUAAAGAGGCGGAUCCAGGAACAUAAAAAAGAUGUAGAGAAUAAAGCUACUACUACUGCUUUAGCGCAACAUGCACUUACAUCCAACUUAGAGAUUGAUUGGACUAACAGUAAAUUGUUGCAUAGAGAACAAGACUCUAAGAGAGGAAGGAUUCCGGAAACGAUGGCGAUCUAUACCAACUGAAGCAAGAGAUGUAAACCAAUUAAUAAGUUGGAUCCUGCUGCAAUAAGUAAUGCUUGGAAGUGGUGUAAUAUUUCCAGAAAUUAACGAAUAGUUAAGCAUGAGCUUUUGAGAAUACUCGGA
rnacentral:lncRNA from 1 species